ACAUCAUGAAAUCGACGCAAACUUUGGACAGCAACGUUGAAUUACUUGAUCAAGGGACAAAAGGGCGUAUCAACUUCCGUUCACUGGCAACCUUCCGUUUGUACCAACAGAAUUCGCAGAAAACGCAAUUACGGAUGUGAUAAAUGAUAGGAUGAUCAUGCGAGGAUGUCAUCAACAAAAAGUGAAGUGUGUCAAUGCAUUUCGGAUGUUGUACAAUGAUCAAAGUAUGAUUAUGAAAUAAAGACAGUUUUCCAUGAUGAAUUACUCGGACGGAUGCUGCGCUUAUUGAUCUGUCCAUGAAUGAAACACCAGCCAAUAAUCUACUGUACUUUACUUCGUUGGCAUCACGUAGAUAAUUCUCAAGGAAACUGCCAUUGGGAAAGCCCCAAGUAACCUGACCGUCACGCAAAAGGAGAUCAUCCACAGAGGUAAUCGAAUCAUCCAU